UACGGAGGAUCCAAGCGUUAUCCGGAUUUAUUGGGUUUAAAGGGUCCGUAGGCGGAUCUGUAAGUCAGUGGUGAAAUCUCAUAGCUUAACUAUGAAACUGCCAUUGAUACUGCAGGUCUUGAGUAAAGUAGAAGUGGCUGGAAUAAGUAGUGUAGCGGUGAAAUGCAUAGAUAUUACUUAGAACACCAAUUGCGAAGGCAGGUCACUAUGUUUUAACUGACGCUGAUGGACGAAAGCGUGGGGAGCGAACAGG
rnacentral:rRNA from 1 species